GUGGAGACAAGGAUAUACUGCAUCAGGGGAAGUUUCAGAAGUAGGAACCAGGAGUCCUGGGUACAAUCCCGCUGCUUGAGCCACCUUAAAUACCAGUUUCCCUUGGCCACAGAGGAAGAGGAGAGCCAGCACCAUGUGAUCAGCCAGCUCUCCACAGACCACCAGUUCAAAAGCAG